rnacentral:rRNA from 1 species
CUACGGGACGCACCAGUGAGGAAUAUUGCACAAUGGGGGGAACCCUGAUGCAGCAACGCCGCGUGGAGGAUGACGCAUUUCGGUGUGUAAACUCCUUUUAUAUGUCAAGAAAAUGACGGUAGCAUAUGAAUAAGCACCGGCUAACUCCGUGCCAGCAGCCGCGGUAAUACGGAGGGUGCAAGCGUUACUCGGAAUCAGUGGGCGAAAGGACGCGUAGGCGGGUUGGAAAGUCAGGUGUGAAAUCCUACAGCUUAACUGGAGAACGGCACUUGAAACUUCUAAGCUAGAGGAUGGGGGGUGGAGAUGGAAUUAGUGGUGUAGGUGUAAGAUCCGUAGAUAUCACUAGGAAUACCUAAAGCGAAGGCGAUCUCCUGGAACAUUACUGACGCUAAGGCGUGAAAGCGUGGGGAGCAAGCAGGAUUAGAUACCCGGGUAGUC